AGUGAACGCUGGCGGUAGGCCUAACACAUGCAAGUCGAACGGCAGCACAGAGGAGCUUGCUCCUUGGGUGGCGAGUGGCGGACGGGUGAGGAAUACAUCGGAAUCUACUCUGUCGUGGGGGAUAACGUAGGGAAACUUACGCUAAUACCGCAUACGACCUACGGGUGAAAGCAGGGGACCUUCGGGCCUUGCGCGAUUGAAUGGGCCGAUGUCGGAUUAGCUAGUUGGCGGGGUAAAGGCCCACCAAGGCGACGAUCCGUAGCUGGGCUGAAAGGAGUAUCAGCCACACUGGAACUGAGACACGGUCCAGACUCCUACGGGAGGCAGCAGUGGGGAAUAUUGGACAAUGGGCGCAAGCCUGAUCCAGCCAUACCGCGUGGGUGAAGAAGGCCUUCGGGUUGUAAAGCCCUUUUGUUGGGAAAGAAAUCCAACUGGCUAAUACCCGGUUGGGAUGACGGUACCCAAAGAAUAAGCACCGGCUAACUUCGUGCCAGCAGCCGCCGUAA
rnacentral:rRNA from 1 species